rnacentral:ncRNA from 1 species
CAAAAUGCUGAGAACAGAAGAAGUAAUGUUUUCUUUACGCAUCAGAGAGAAGAAGUCAUCGGCUGAAAGCUUCUUUGGCUUAAAAAACAUGAAAUGCAUCUGGGAGCAGGCAGGGGGAAAUCCUUGCACGGCCGGGAACCGUUAAUUUCCUCAAAAGAGAAAAAUCGGAGUGGAACCGCGACAGAAAUUAGCCGCCUCCGUU